rnacentral:lncRNA from 1 species
UGCCAAUGAGACAACUAUCCACAAAAGACCAAAAUGACACAGACAUUAACAACUAUAGGUCACCGUACGGCCUUCAACAAUGAGCAAAGCCCAUACCGCAUAGUCAGCUAUAAAGGCCCGAUGAGACAAUGUAAAAACAAUUCAAACGAGAAAACUAACGGCCUUAUUUAUGUAAAAAAAUGAACGAAAAACAAAUAUGUAACACAUAAACAAACGACAACCACUGAAUUACAGA